UACAUAGGGGGCGAGCGUUGUUCGGAAUUACUGGGCGUAAAGGGCGCGUAGGCGGCCCGCUAAGUCGAACGUGAAAUCCCCAGGCUCAACCUGGGAACUGCGUCCGAUACUGGCAGGCUUGAAUCCGGGAGAGGGAUGUGGAAUUCCAGGUGUAGCGGUGAAAUGCGUAGAUAUCUGGAGGAACACCGGUGGCGAAGGCGGCAUCCUGGACCGGUAUUGACGCUGAGGCGCGAAAGCUAGGGGAGCAAACGGG
rnacentral:rRNA from 1 species